UACGGAGGAUGCAAGCGUUAUCCGGAUUUAUUAGGUAUAAAGGGUGCGUAGGCGGACCAGUUAGUCAGUGGUGAAAUACUGCGGCUUAACCGUAGAACUGCCAUUGAUACUGCAGGUCUUGAGUACAGUUGAGGUAGGCGGAAUGUGUGGUGUAGCGGUGAAAUGCUUAGAUAUCACACAGAACACCGAUUGCGAAGGCAGCUUACUAAGUUGUAACUGACGCUGAUGCACGAAAGCAUGGGGAGCAAACAGGAUUAGAUACCCUGGUAGUCCAUGCCGUAAACGAUGAUCACUCGCUGUAUGUCCAUUAGGAUAUGUGGCUGAGCUAAUGCAUUAAGUGAUCUAUUUGGGGAGUAUGGCGGUAACGCUGAA
rnacentral:rRNA from 1 species